rnacentral:lncRNA from 1 species
CUGUGAGAAUCUGAGCAGAGCAGGAAUAGAAAUCAGAUCAUUGCCACACAAGGUGAAGAGGAACGCUUGAAUUCUGGGACUCUAGUAAGUGGCUUUCAACAUCCUCAAAAGCAUCUAAUUGUUCAGGACAUACUGAAUAUCUGCACUUCCAGAAAUCCAGCCUUGAGUCAUUGUACAUCUGGCUGGAUCACAAUAUGAAGAGAACAGUUAGCAGCCUCUAUUGUCAGAAGAGUUCCCAUUCAGUUUUGCGGACAGAUAUGGACUGUAAACAUUAAAUGACUACUCAUUUUAUUUAUACUUAAUUUCUGCAGAUUUUGAGA